UACAGAGGUCUCAAGCGUUUGUUCGGAUUCAUUGGGCGUAAAGGGUGCGUAGGCGGCGCGGUAAGUCGGGUGUGAAAUCUCGGGGCUUAACUCCGAAACUGCAUUCGAUACUGCCGUGCUUGAGGACUGGAGAGGAGACUGGAAUUUACGGUGUAGCGGUGAAAUGCGUAGAUAUCGUAAGGAAGACCAGUGGCGAAGGCGGGUCUCUGGACAGUUCCUGACGCUGAGGCACGAAGGCCCAGGGGAGCAAACGGGG
rnacentral:rRNA from 1 species